GCAAUAUCAUUUGAUUCAGCAGGAAUGCGCCGACUUAAAUGCCACCGCGCAACAGAAGGCUUCAAAACAAUGAUGCAAUCCAAUGCCAGUGUUAUCAGCGUUAACAGUAGACAACACAGUCAACAUAGUUAUCACGCCCAAACUCGACCUUGAUCCGAUCAAGUUUCUGUACCUGGGGAUAUAUAGAAUCCCAACCUGACUUCCCCCCGGAUCCGCAUGUGUAUCAUACGGUUCCUUGUUGGAUUACGAUGCUUGUUGGAUCAACAUGCUCGUGCCCGUCGUGCUCGGUGAGGUGCUCGACGCCUUGUUCUCAGCGCACCGUCACUCUUGAUGUGCUUCGCACUUGUAAGAUGCCGACGAGAAUCUGCCGGAUGUCGGCGCCGAUGGGAUCUCGAUGGAUCUUCGGAUGUCAUCCAUGCAUGCAAGGGGACUGCUUGCCUCUCCCUUGUUUGAUGAAUUGCCGCGGAGAGAUUUUGCUUGAACAUAAGACUGGAUGCUAUUGAAGAAAUGGACCGAAGAGGAUUUGUGUGCUCGGAAAUGAGCCACUGGAUAUGCGCAUGAAUCCUCAGACAUGUAGAGAAUUCAAAUGCAAGUGGGAGAAUGCGGAAAAUGGCCAAGAAAGACAGCUACUCUGAAGCAAAAAAUAUGUUAACUCUCUGUGAUCUCGGAAGCAGAGAUGCAGAGAGAACAAUGCAGGUCGGAGAAUACAACAGGUGGUCAAAACAGAGAACUACUCUAAAGCAUUUAAAAGUAUGUUACAUGAGCUAUGUCUAAUCCACUCUUCACCUCUCAUCUAAAUUGCUUUUCUCAAUGCUACCUCAAGGAUUCCUCGAGCCUGAUCCAUCGAACCGUGGCCGCGACCUGUUGCGGUGACAAUUCCGCUUUAAUCAGAAGGUGUGCUCAAGCUUCUAUCGACCUUCAGUUGUUGGUGCUCCUGCGUCGUAUGAGAUACUGCAUUCGGAGGUAGCAGCUUUCUUGCUUGAACUCCAACAAUACCAAAAGAGCUGAGAAGGAAAAUUAUCAGAAAUAGCUUCAGCACAGCAGGAGCAGCACCUAAGAAAGAUCUGCAUCCAUCCUUCAUGAUCUCCCUUGAUUCUAUCAGAUGUACAUAUGCCAACUGAGAAAGAAGUGGGAAGAAGAAAGGCAGCAGCCAAAGACCAUGGGGUUUAUUGAUGACAAGGUUGAUCUAUGCUGGAAUUUUCAUCAAACUCAUUUUCUAAUGGAUGCAGGAGAUCAUGUGAUGCAACUUUGACUGGCAUCCCGAGAGCUUCUUCCAUUCCUCAGACCAACUCCAUUCAACAGGCAAUCACGUGAUCUUAUGAUUUGAUUACUGCCUUUACUGCAGUCUCUCUGCCAUGCCAACCUGCCUUUGCCACUGUUAACCCCAUUUGCUGCCUGCUCCAGAAAGAUUAGUCUAAAGGCCUGUAAUAUGUAGGCCACACUCUAAGCCGUAGCGUCUCUUCUCACGUGCAUGGAUUCCAAGUCUUAUCUCUCUACAACAAGCAAUCAACUGGGUGGACGUGGAUAGACAUGCAUCGGAAGGAAAAGAAAACAAAGGUUUAUGUUCAUCAGCUGACUGAUGAUGGAGAGCAAAUAUGCAUUGGAAGAGUCCAAUCUAGCAAGCAUUUGCCUUUGUUUUGUUUUCUUUGUUCUAUUUGACUGUGGCACAGAUCUCCAAGAAGGUCAGAUUGAAGUUAAAACAAAAGUGAACAAGGAUUAGCUGGUCAUUAUUCUUUACAGGGUGUUGUGGUGCAGGCUAUCUUCUAAAGUUAACAGCAAGGUGUACCUCUCAAGAGCCACCAACAACUACACACUCACAACCCAAGCUGUGUGUGACCAGGGUGACUGAACCAGCUGCCCAUCAUUGUGACAAGCAGACACAUACCAGAUGAUGCUGGAAACUUUGAAUGGGAUUUGAAAGAGAAUCGUACGAGAUAGGAAGGCUUCGGCAGAUCCAUCAACAGUCUCCGGUGGAUCAUACAAGGCAAGAAUGAGAUGUCACGACGAAAGAAAUAUUGUUCAUGGGACAUGCGCAGAGUGAUUGAAAUGUCUCAAGUAAGCAGUAGAAUGUUCUGAGCAAGAACUGCACUCCCUGACAUAGUUGCAAUGCUGCUUGAGUGGCCUAAAGGUUCAUUGAAUGGGAGAAAGUUUUAGGACGAAGACAUUAACUAGGAUUGCACUAUUGCCAGCUGAAAUGCACAGUAAACAGAAGACUUGCAAUGAAUUGACGAACAACAGGAAGUUGCAGAAAGGUUGAUCACUGGGACCUUCUGAGAAGGAGCUGCUUCAAAGCAAUGGUAACCUAAAGUUUUUAUCUAAGCAUUCUUUUUCUUUCUGCACUUGUUUCUGAUGUUGCUUUUACUUCUUGAAAGCUAUUAUGCAUUUAUCUCUCUAAAUACAAGUUUGGUAUAAUAUCCAUUACCUGAUUAUUAGUAUAAUCAUAUUAAAACUUCAGUUAAAAUGAACUAGCAAUUCAAAUUGGAGGGCUUCUUUGUAGGCUUCAAUCCUUUCGUGUCAUGCAUGUCAUAUCACCCCUAAGCUAUUUCUUUUUUUUUUUUAGUUGUCAUA